UACAGAGGGGGCAAGCGUUGUUCGGAAUUACUGGGCGUAAAGGGCGCGUAGGCGGCCUUCUAAGUCGAACGUGAAAUCCCCGGGCUCAACCCGGGAACUGCGUCCGAUACUGGUUGGCUUGAAUCCGGGAGAGGGAUGCGGAAUUCCAGGUGUAGCGGUGAAAUGCGUAGAUAUCUGGAGGAACACCGGUGGCGAAGGCGGCAUCCUGGACCGGCAUUGACGCUGAGGCGCGAAAGCUAGGGGAGCAAACGGG
rnacentral:rRNA from 1 species